UCCGAGUUGACCCCGGCAGUAUCCCAUGAGUUCCCACCAUUACGUGCUGGCAACAUAGAACGAGGGUUGCGCUCGUUGCGGGACUUAACCCAACAUCUCACGACACGAGCUGACGACAACCAUGCACCACCUGUUCACGAGUGUCCAAAGAGUUCUACAUUUCUGCAGCGUUCUCGUGUAUGUCAAGCCUUGGUAAGGUUCUUCGCGUUGCAUCGAAUUAAUCCGCAUGCUCCGCCGCUUGUGCGGGUCCCCGUCAAUUCCUUUGAGUUUUAGCCUUGCGGCCGUACUCCCCAGGCGGGGCACUUAAUGCGUUAGCGACGGCGCGGAUCUCGUUGGUUGAGACCCACACCUAGUGCCCAACGUUUACGGCGUGGACUAC
rnacentral:misc_RNA from 1 species